UACAGAGGUCUCAAGCGUUGUUCGGAUUCAUUGGGCGUAAAGGGUGCGUCAGGUGGCGUGGUAAGUCGGGUGUGAAAUUUCGGAGCUUAACUCCGAAACUGCAUUCGAUACUGCCGUGCUUGAGGACUGGAGAGGAGACUGGAAUUUACGGUGUAGCAGUGAAAUGCGUAGAGAUCGUAAGGAAGACCAGUGGCGAAGGCGGGUCUCUGGACAGUUCCUGACACUGAGGCACGAAGGCCAGGGGAGCAAACGGG
rnacentral:rRNA from 1 species